AACGAACGCUGGCGGCGCGCCUAAUACAUGCAAGUCGAGCGAGAAGACGUAGCAAUACGUUUGUAAAGCGGCGAACGGGUGAGGAAUACAUGGGUAACCUACCCUCGAGUGGGGAAUAACUAGCCGAAAGGUUAGCUAAUACCGCGUACGCUCCUUGGACUUCGGUUCAGGGAGGAAAGCGAUACCGUGGGUAUCGCGCUCUUGGAUGGGCUCAUGUCCUAUCAGCUUGUUGGUGAGGUAACGGCUCACCAAGGCUUCGACGGGUAGCUGGUCUGAGAGGACGAUCAGCCACACUGGCACUGCGACACGGGCCAGACUCCUACGGGAGGCAGCAGUAAGGAAUAUUGCGCAAUGGGCGAAAGCCUGACGCAGCGACGCCGCGUGGGGGAGUGAAGGUC
rnacentral:rRNA from 1 species